AGUUGUGAGGGUGAUCUGAUUGUGACAUCUGUCAUCCCUUUGAUCACUAAGGAUCUGGUUAGGCAGGUGUCCCCUUCCCUCACUGCUCCAUGUGCAUCCCUCCUGAAGCUGUGCUCUUGGUUGAAGAGAAUGACCUUCCUGAACAGAGACUGACCUUCCUCCUGUCAAGUAAUUGUACUAUCCUGCAUACUAGUAACUGUGUUUUCCUGUUAGAACCUCCAGACAAGCUCCCAGGGUUCAAAUGAUUCUCUCUCUCUCAGUGUGUGUGUGUGUGUGUG
rnacentral:snRNA from 1 species